rnacentral:lncRNA from 1 species
AAGAUCAGUACGUGCUGUGUCUUCUCUCAGGGAGAGUGACUAGUCUCGAGUCAUUGGUGUGUGUGAUAUCAAGACAAGUACGUAGGUGCUCAAUAGAGAAUGAGUUCACUGAACAUGAUCAACGAAGAGUUCUCAUAUUCAUGUCACAUGAGAACUCAUGGUUGGGAUAAUACAAAGUAGUCCUUUGACCUGAGGCAUCACGUUUGUCUUGUGGUUAAGUCCUUGAUCUUUGAUUAUGUCAAAGUCACCCCAUCCGCGGGUGUCCACGGCAUCGUUGGGGUUAAGCCACUUAGCUAUGGAGGCAAGUGAAUGCGCAACAAGGGAUCUCUAACCUUCAAACCGUUUGGGGGAGAAUACUUUAUGAUAUGAUUAAGAAUCUCUGGCCAGAGCAUGAAUGAGAUUUAGAAAAGUCGUUCCAAAUCACAUUCAAGGUAAUCAUAUAAGCACACGAAUCACAUUGGAUAGUAGAUAUGAAUAAACUAUCAAACCAAACAAUGUGGUCAAGAGUAUUGUAUUAGAGAAAGACCGUAUUGCAUUUGUAAU